CAGUCGCCACGGGAAUACGUAGGUGGCAAGCGUUGUCCGGAAUUAUUGGGCGUAAAGGGCUCGCAGGCGGUUUCUUAAGUCUGAUGUGAAAGCCCCCGGCUCAACCGGGGAGGGUCAUUGGAAACUGGGAAACUUGAGUGCAGAAGAGGAGAGUGGAAUUCCACGUGUAGCGGUGAAAUGCGUAGAGAUGUGGAGGAACACCAGUGGCGAAGGCGACUCUCUGGUCUGUAACUGACGCUGAGGAGCUAAAGCGUGGGGAGCGGACAGGAUUAGAUACCCCCGUAGUCCCUGUCUCUUAUAC
rnacentral:rRNA from 1 species